UUUUGUUACCUAAUGCUUCAUUUGUAAUGUAAUCCGGUGGAAUGGAAACUGUAGUUGAAACUAAUUUCGUUCCUUAUAGAGACAGACGAAGGCAGUUUAAAUUUGUUUGUUUGAGCUGGUUAUUUAUUCGAUAUAGUCUUAACUUGAGUUAACAUAUUCUAUCAUAUCAUCAUUCAUAUUUACUACAGGUGGUAAAUAAUAUUCCAUGUAUCGCCUCCAUUAAGUUAAAGUGCAAUUCAAAAAUUAGGAGAGAGGAUAUCAUUUAGAAUGGAAAUGGAGAAUGGGGAAUGUGUCAAAAUUACAACAACCCUUCAAAGUAGCAGAAAACAGCCUUAGGCCACCAAUGGAUUAUCAAUAAAGCGAGAAAAUCCCGUACCCUGAAAGGUGCUUCAGUUGGCC
rnacentral:lncRNA from 1 species